CAAGGGUUGCUAUGGUUUGAAUGUUCCCUCAGAAACUCGUGUUGAAACUUAACUGUCAAUGUAAUGGCAUUGGGAUGUGAGGUCUUUAAGAGGAGGCUUGCCUGCUGUCUUGUCUUCUGCCAUGGAAUGACGCUUGUCAGAUGCCACUACGAUGCUCUUGGACUUCUCAUCUUCAGAAAGCUAGGAAGAUGGAGUCUCUCUCUGUUGCCAGGCUGGAG
rnacentral:lncRNA from 1 species